AUUGAACGCUGGCGACAUGCCUUACACAUGCAAGUCGAACGGCAGCACGGGUGCUUGCACCUGGUGGCGAGUGGCGAACGGGUGAGUAAUACAUCGGAACAUGUCCUGUAGUGGGGGAUAGCCCGGCGAAAGCCGGAUUAAUACCGCAUACGAUCUACGGAUGAAAGCGGGGGACCUUCUGGCCUCGCGCUAUAGGGUUGGCCGAUGGCUGAUUAGCUAGUUGGUGGGGUAAAGGCCUACCAAGGCGACGAUCAGUAGCUGGUCUGAGAGGACGACCAGUCACACUGGGACUGAGACACGGCCCAGACUCCUACGGGAGGCAGCAGUGGGGAAUUUUGGACAAUGGGCGAAAGCCUGAUCCAGCAAUGCCGCGUGUGUGAAGAAGGCCUUCGGGUUGUAAAGCACUUUUGUCCGGAAAGAAAUCCUUGGCCCUAAUACGGUCGGGGGAUGACGGUACCGGAAGAAUAAGCACCGGCUAACUACGUG
rnacentral:rRNA from 1 species